rnacentral:rRNA from 1 species
AUUGAACGCUGGCGGCAUGCUUUACACAUGCAAGUCGAACGGCAGCACGGGGGCAGCCCUGGUGGCGAGUGGCGAACGGGUGAGUAAUACAUCGGAACGUGCCCGGUCGUGGGGGAUAACGUAGCGAAGGGUACGCUAAUACCGCAUACGAUCAGAGGAUGAAAGCGGGGGACCUUCGGUCCUCGCCGGAUCGGCGCGGCCGAUGUCAGAUUAGGUAGUUGGUGGGGUAAAGGCCUACCAAGCCGACGAUCUGUAGCUGGUCUGAGAGGACGACCAGCCACACUGGGACUGAGACACGGCCCAGACUCCUACGGGAGGCAGCAGUGGGGAAUUUUGGACAAUGGGCGCAAGCCUGAUCCAGCCAUGCCGCGUGCAGGACGAAGGCCUUCGGGUCGUAAACUGCUUUUGUACGGAACGAAAAGGCUCUGGCUAAUACCUGGGGCUCAUGACGGUACCGUAAGAAUAAGCACCGGCUAACUACGUG